rnacentral:rRNA from 1 species
UGGGGAAUUUUCCACAAUGGGCGAAAGCCUGAUGGAGCAACGCCGCGUGUGUGAUGAAGGUUUUCGGAUCGUAAAGCACUUUCGACCGGGACGAAAAACCUCUGGCUAACAUCCAGGGGCCUGACGGUACCGGGAGAAGAAGCACCGGCUAACUCUGUGCC